rnacentral:lncRNA from 1 species
UUUGUCUCGUUCUGCCUUAUUCUGUCUGUUCUGUGAGCGCUCAGCCAGGUCUGUUCUGUGAGCGCUCAGCCAGGUUGUUUGGAAUUUGGGCGGGACGAAGAAGGAGCUGACGAGCUCGGACUUCUCGCCCCGCAGCCCUGGAAGACGUUCCAAGGGUGUUGGGGCCCGACUUUUCGGGGCCCAAUCUGGGAGAGGAGAAAGAUCCGGACUAACGGCACUCUGUCUGUAUUUUUGGCUUUCAGAGGGCCCCGGACCUUUGCCACCUCCAUCUGACUUUUUGCUUUCAGUUUGGUACCAAAGCCGUGCAGCACGCCUGUCUGUUGUUUGUUUGACUGUUGGUGUUGUUUGUUUUCUCUGUGUUCUAAUCUUCCUUAGAACUAACAUGGGACAGUCCCUAACAACGCCCCUAAGUCUCACUCUUGAUCAUUAGAAAGACGUCCACGACCAGGCACACAACCAGUCCGUCGAGGUUAAAAAAAAAAAAAAAGAAAAUGACAGACUCUCUGCACAUCCGAGUGGCCCACUUUCGGAGCGGGAUGGCCAAUGAAUGGCACAUUUAAUAAGAUCA